rnacentral:rRNA from 1 species
GAUGAACGCUGGCGGCGUGCUUAACACAUGCAAGUCGAACGGUGAAGGCGGAGCUUGCUCUGCUGGAUCAGUGGCGAACGGGUGAGUAACACGUGAGCAAUCUGCCCCUGACUCUAGGAUAAGCGCUGGAAACGGCGUCUAAUACUGGAUACGAGCUGCGAAGGCAUCUUCAGCAGCUGGAAAGAAUUUCGGUCGGGGAUGAGCUCGCGGCCUAUCAGCUUGUUGGUGAGGUAAUGGCUCACCAAGGCGUCGACGGGUAGCCGGCCUGAGAGGGUGACCGGCCACACUGGGACUGAGACACGGCCCAGACUCCUACGGGAGGCAGCAGUGGGGAAUAUUGCACAAUGGGCGAAAGCCUGAUGCAGCAACGCCGCGUGAGGGACGACGGCCUUCGGGUUGUAAACCUCUUUUAGCAGGGAAGAAGCGAAAGUGACGGUACCUGCAGAAAAAGCGCCGGCUAACUACGUG